rnacentral:lncRNA from 1 species
AAGCCUAUUAAAGAUCAGCUUGGAUCAAGCUUUCAUUCGCAUCUGCCUGAACUCCACAUGUUUCAGACCCAAGGGAAAAUUGGUAAUCAAGUGGAGAAGUCUAUCAAUGAUGCUUCCUCAGCUUCAACAUCCCAAAUAAUUUGUAGGCUCAAAACCCAUAUUUCUAUUAAGUAUGGGAAGAAUUUCCUCUAUUCUUCAUUAUUCACACAAAUACAAGAAGUACACAUGAGGGAAAAACCUUUCCAAUGUAAUGAGUGUGGCAAAGCCUUUAAUCAUAGCUCAUGUUUAAGGAGACAUCACGUAACCCAUUCAGGAGAGAAACAGUAUAAAUGUGAUGUAUGUGGCAAAGUCUUUCAUCAGAAGCAAUACCUUGCAUGGCACCAUAGUGUUCAUACUGGAGAAAAACCUUACAAGUGUAAUGAGUGUUCCAAGACCUUCAAUCAGAAGUCAUCCCUUCAGUGUCAUCAUAGACUUCAUACUGUACAGAAACAUUACAAAUGUGAAGAAUGCAACAAAGUUUUCCACCAUGAUUUAUGCCUUGCACAACAUCAGAGAGUUCAUACUGGAGAGAACCUUACACAUUUCACGAGUAUGGAAAGACCUUUGCUCAAAAUUCAGCCCUUGUAAUGCAUAAGGCAAUUCAUACUGGAAAGAAACCUUACACAUGUAAUGAAUGUGGCAAGGUUUCUAAUCAACAAUCAAACCUUGCACAACAUCAGAGAGUUUAUACUGGAGAGAAACCUUACAAGUGUAAUGAGUGGGGCAAAGCCUUAAGUGGGAAGUCGUCACUUUUUUAUCAUCAAGCAAUCCAUGGUGUAGGGAAACUUUGCAAAUGUAAUGAUUGUCACAAAGUCUUCAGUAAUGCUACAACCAUUGCAAAUCACUGGAGAAUCCAUAAUGAAGACAGAUCUUACAAGUGUAAUAAAUGUGGUAAAAUUUUCAGACAUCGAUCAUAUCUUGCAGUUUAUCAGCGAACUCAUACUGGAGAGAAACCUUACAAAUAUCAUGACUGUGGCAAGGUCUUCAGUCAAGCUUCAUCCUAUGCAAAACAUAGGAGAAUUCAUACAGGAGAGAAACCUCACAAGUGUGAUGAUUGUGGCAAAGUCUUGACUUCACGUUCACACCUCAUUAGACAUCAGAGAAUCCAUACUGGACAGAAAUCUUACAAAUGUCUUAAGUGUGGCAAGGUCUUCAGUCUGUGGGCACUCCAUGCAGAACAUCAGAAAAUUCAU